rnacentral:rRNA from 1 species
UACGUAGGUGGCAAGCGUUGUCCGGAAUUAUUGGGCGUAAAGCGCGCGCAGGCGGUCUCUUAAGUCUGAUGUGAAAUCCCGUGGCUUAACCACGGGCGGUCAUUGGAAACUGGGGGACUUGAGUGCAGAAGAGAAGAGCGGAAUUCCACGUGUAGCGGUGAAAUGCGUAGAGAUGUGGAGGAACACCAGUGGCGAAGGCGGCUCUGUGGUCUGUAACUGACGCUGAGGCGCGAAAGCGUGGGGAGCGAACAGG